AAAUUGAAGAGUUUGAUCAUGGCUCAGAUUGAACGCUGGCGGCAGGCCUAACACAUGCAAGUCGAACGGUAACAGGAAGAAGCUUGCUUCUUUGCUGACGAGUGGCGGACGGGUGAGUAAUGUCUGGGAAGCUGCCUGAUGGAGGGGGAUAACUACUGGAAACGGUAGCUAAUACCGCAUAACGUCGCAAGACCAAAGAGGGGGACCUUCGGGCCUCUUGCCAUCGGAUGUGCCCAGAUGGGAUUAGCUAGUAGGUGGGGUAACGGCUCACCUAGGCGACGAUCCCUAGCUGGUCUGAGAGGAUGACCAGCCACACUGGAACUGAGACACGGUCCAGACUCCUACGGGAGGCAGCAGUGGGGAAUAUUGCACAAUGGGCGCAAGCCUGAUGCAGCCAUGCCGCGUGUAUGAAGAAGGCCUU
rnacentral:rRNA from 1 species